GGAAGUACACUGAAAAAAAUGAUUCGGACCCCUUUUAAAUAUUACUUGAUUUAUUCAAGGUUAUUUCACUGAUUUGAACGUGUUAUUGAAUCCUACUUAUCUUUUUUAAUUAAUCACAUACACAACACAUUCUUCCAUGGUUUAGAAAAAGCUUAUUUCCUUCAUUUAAAAGUUACAUGAAAAAAAUGUCUACAUUUUACAACCACAUUCAACUUCCACAUCUGCGCAUGUGCGACCACAAACCGCCCCUGGAGGACGCGGGAAUCUUUUUCACUUUUAAAGAUUUGCUAUAUCUCCUGGCUGUCUGGGUAUCCAAGGCUCUACGUUUUCAGUAUAUAUGUAUUUUUUUGCAGUUUUUUCUAUCUGAUGUUGGUGUGAUGUGGAACUCUUUGGGGACCUCAUAAAGUUUUGUUUAUGUGGCAGUGUAAAGACUGUGGCACUGAAGUGUCGAGGCGAUCAGAGAUUCUUAAACAUUACAAACUAAAACAUAGUCAUUUUGGACGUGGCCCUCACAUUAAGUGUGUAUAUCCUGAUUGGCCUGCACUUUUCCAUAUCGAUGAGAUACAUGCUGAAUUCCAACGCAUUACAGCCAUCCCACUGGAAUCUACCUUCAUGGCACGGUUGGACAGCCAUUUAGCCCAAUUGACAUCCAUCUUCCAGAUGAAGGGAGGAGUUGCUGGCCAGAAACUAGCUAAACAUCUGGAGAUUUUGCAAGAAGAGACAAGUGAUGUCAAUCUGAAAAGGACAGCUAUCCUAAAGGCUCUUUGCAUCUACCUGGGUGAGGACGAGGGACAGCUCGUUUGGGAGUAUAUAGACAUUGAAGGAAAUGACAUCCUGAGAGACCUGCAAAAGCAUACCAUGAGUAUAUAUGUCAUCAACAAGGAGGGUGGAGAAAUGUGACAUUGUGAUGACAUUGGAAUUUUCGUUGAAGGAGUAAUCAUUCUCGACAACUGUGGAUCUGUGGCCCGCGCUUGUGCAAUGAUGCUGGGAGUCAUCUACGCUCUGAACAUGGCUUACCCCAAAGAGCUAAGAUACUAUUACGAAUUCCUUCAGAAAGUUCUCUUUCGAAUGGAUGCUGAAAGGCUUUCCCCCAAAAUCCUUGGACUAAGGAACAAAAUAGAUGCUGGACUGUAGGAAAUCUUCAGCCACUCUUGUGAACUGGUCUCAUUGCAUUGCAGAAGAAAAGAGUCGACGUAAUUAAAAAGCACCAGUCAAACCCGGGUAAACGAUAUAUAUGGCACACUGAAAAGAUGUUUGUUCCAUUUAUUGAUGUGACAGUUAGUCUCGUUCUGGCUCUACACAGAUUUGCUAUUUUCAUCUUCCGCUAGUAUCGGAGAGUAAAAUUUUCUGGAGGUUUAAGUCACAUGUUUCAUUAUGCCUUGAUUUAUUCGCUGACGAAUAAGUCUGUUCCCAAUGCACUUGGUCUUUUUUUUUUAUAAUACACCAACUUUUGUGCCUUAGUUGAGCAUGUGAGAUUUGUUUGUUUAUUUUUUUCUAUUUUUAUAUAUACAUAUAUAUUAUGACUGGUACUCUAGCACACACACACACAGCUCUGUUGGAACUUUUUGAUUUUAAAGCCUCCUGAAUAGUCUGCAACACCUCAUUGAAGCACUGAAGAUAAGAUAAUAAAUACAACACAUUUAUAGAACAUACAAAAUAGAAGAACAUAUCCAUCUAAAGAAAAAUGAAUAAGAGGUAGCACAAGAUUUUGAUAGUGUCGUUUAUUUGUUGCUCAGUCUGUUGGAUUGUGUUGAGGGGCUUAUUGCAUUAAAGCAACUGGUUUAUAUAUAUGUAAUGUACAUAUAAACAUUUAAUGUAUAUAUAUGUAAUGUAUAGGUAAUGUGUGUGUAUAUAUACAUCCAGUUGUGGAAAAGAAUGUUCUUUCUUUUGUUUAGAUUAUUAUGUAAGGUGUAUUAUAAUAUGCCCUUUGCUUUUUUUGAAUAAAAUACACUGAUGAUUGACUAAUGGCAUUUC